rnacentral:tRNA from 3 species
CGGGGCGUAGCGCAGCUCGGAUAGCGCGCCUGCUUCGGGAGCAGGAGGUCGGCGGUUCAAAUCCGCCCGCCCCGACCA